rnacentral:rRNA from 1 species
GGCCUUGGCUGGCGGUCCGCCUCACGGUGUGUACUGUCAGCUGGGGCCUUUCCUCUUGGUGAACCCUCAUGCCCUUUACUGGGUGUGGGGGGGAACCAGGACUUUUACUUUGAAAAAAUUAGAGUGUUCAAAGCAGGCCUAUGCCUGAAUACAUUAGCAUGGAAUAAUAAAAUAGGACGUGCGGUUCUAUUUUGUUGGUUUCUAGGAUCGCCGUA